UUACGGUCACAUCACGUUGAAACAUUGGUUCCCGUACGAUCACCGAAGUUAAGCAGCAUUGAACCUGGUCAGUACCUAAAUGGGUGACCACUUAGGAAUACCAGAUGUUGUAA